GGAAACCGACGACAAUACCGCAUAAGCUCGAGAGAGGAAAGCAGCAAUGCGCUGAAGGAGGAGUCCGCGGUCGAUUAGCUAGUUGGUGAGGUAAUGGCUCACCAAGGCUGUGAUCGAUAGCCGGCCUGAGAGGGCACACGGCCACACUGGCACUGAAACACGGGCCAGACUCCUACGGAGGCAGCAGUGGGAAUCUUGCACAAUGGGGGAAACCCUGAUGCAGCGACGCCGCGUGAGCGAUGAAGCCCUUCGGGGUGUAAAGCUCUUUCGGCAGGGAAGAUAAUGACGGUACCUGCAGAAGCAGCUGCGGCUAACUACGUGCCAGCAGCCGCGGUAAUACGUAGGCAGCAAGCGUUGUUCGGAGUUACUGGGCGUAAAGGGUGCGUAGGCGGUCCUAUAAGUAUGGUGUGAAAU
rnacentral:rRNA from 1 species